AGCGAACGCUGGCGGCAGGCCUAACACAUGCAAGUCGAGCGCCCCGCAAGGGGAGCGGCAGACGGGAGAGUAACACGUGGGAACGUACCCUUUGGUCCGGAACAACCCAGGGAAACUUGGGCUAAUACCGGAUAAGCCCUUACGGGGAAAGAUUUAUCGCCGAAGGAUCGGCCCGCGUCUGAUUAGCUAGUUGGUGGGGUAACGGCCCACCAAGGCGACGAUCAGUAGCGGGUCUGAGAGGAUGAUCAGCCUCACUGGGACUGAGACACGGCCCAGACUCCUACGAGAGGCAGCGGUGGGGAAGAUUGGACAAUGGGCGCGAGCCUGGUCCAGCCUUGCCGCGUGGGUGAUGGAGGCCCGAGGGUUGUAAAGCCCUCUCGGCGGGGAAGAUAAUGACGGUACCCGCAGAAGAAGCCCCGGCUAACUUCGUGCCAGCCGCCGCCGUAACAC
rnacentral:rRNA from 1 species